rnacentral:rRNA from 1 species
UACAGAGGUCCCAAGCGUUGUUCGGAUUCACUGGGCGUAAAGGGUGCGUAGGUGGCCAGGUAAGUUUGAUGUGAAAGCUCGGAGCUUAACUCCGAAAUGGCAUUGAAUACUAUCUGGCUUGAGGGUCGGAGGGGAGACUGGAAUUCUCGGUGUAGCAGUGAAAUGCGUAGAUAUCGAGAGGAACACCAGUGGCGAAGGCGAGUCUCUGGACGACACCUGACACUGAGGCACGAAAGCUAGGGGAGCAAACGGG